GUGCUCACUUCCGCAGCACAUAUACUAAAACUGGAAUGCUACAAGAGAAGGUUAGCAUGGCCCCUGCACAAGAAUUAUAUGCAAAUUCUUAAAGUGUUCCAUAUUUUU